rnacentral:tRNA from 2 species
GGGGAAUUAGCUCAAUUGGAAGAGCAACGGUCCUGCAAACCGUCUGUUGCGAGUUCGAGUCUCGCAUUCUCCA